UACAGAGGGGGCAAGCGUUAUUCGGAAUUAUUGGGCGUAAAGGGCGCGUAGGCGGCUUUGCAAGUGACGGGUGAAAUCCCUCGGCUUAACCGAGGAACUGCCUGUCAGACUGCAUGGCUUGAGACCAGGAGAGGUGAGUGGAAUUCCCAGUGUAGCGGUGAAAUGCGUAGAUAUUGGGAGGAACACCAGUGGCGAAGGCGGCUCACUGGACUGGUACUGACGCUGAGGUGCGAAAGCGUGGGGAGCAAACAGGG
rnacentral:rRNA from 1 species